rnacentral:lncRNA from 1 species
CUGUCUAGCAGGUAAGUGCAGACUUGAGACUCUCCGACUAAAACUCGAGUGCUUCCUAGCAGACAGAGCAGCUGUCACUCAGCAGCCUCUUGCCAGGCCCCUGUAAAGAGGCCUACCCAACAGGAAGUACAAGGAGCAGUCGAGCAGUCCCGCAGUCCCGGACUCCCAGGAGAGCUUGCAGGCUUAUCUAGACAUGCGAAGGGAAGAGCAGCGGCUCAUUUGAGACAGGGUUUGCCUGCUUUGCAUCUAACAUCAAGUUAGUGGGAAAUAGGUCCAGACUGAGCACACAUGAACACAUUUGGAAGUCAGUCUAAAAGGGAAGUUUUCCAUAUCUCGUCAAACGGCCAUGCAGUGCACAGGCACUUAACCUGGAGGCCCUCGGAGGCGCGCCGUGCACCUGGGACUCACACACAGGUUAUUCUCGGACCGUUUGCUGUUUCACCACCACAGGUGAUGCUCUCUCAGGUCUGGCGUGGUAGUGCAGUAUACAUGUUUAAACGUCAGGCUUGUGGGUUUUAGUACACGUGUCAGGUAGAAAGAAGAGGGUGUGAGGGUUUUCAUCAGGUUAAACACUGCACUCCAGGUUCUCUGGCAUUGCUGUCGGUUUUUGCUCUUGUGUUGUUUUGAUGAUGCUGGAGAUUAAACUCAGCUAUGGCUGUGCUAAGGAUGUGUUUUACCACUGGAUUAUGCUCCUUACAACUUUCAAAUGGAAUAAAUCUAAAUGGUUUUAAUUUACAUACCUUUUUAAAAGAAUUAUUUAUGUAUUUAUGUAGCAUGGGAUUGAACUCAGGACCUGUGAAGAGCAGUCAGGGCUCUUAUCUGCUGAACCAUCUCUCCAGCCCAUACCUUUUUUCUUUUUUUAAACAAAAAAGUAUGCCUACUUGAAUUUCAGAUACCACAGCUGUUUAUAGAGAAUAAAAAACUGAGAUAAUCCCAUCUUCUAGAAACAGCCAAUUUAACAUCCACAUCCCCACAUGCACAUACACUGGUCAUUUGUAACAGGUUAACACUGUCUGU